GCGAGGACCUGAACUAGUAACAAUGCCAUCAGCAAUAGCUCAAGAAGUGCAGAAAGGGGGAAAAAGUCAGUUUUAUAAAUACAGCUGUUACAGACCAAUAUUUUGUGGUCCCUUGUCAAUGCUAUUAAAACAUAAAUGAAUUCGCUCAAUAUAAAUGCAGCAUGGAUUAUCCAAGCAUACACACACACUCAUGCACAAAUGAAUAUGCAUGUCUUGAGAGGCUUGCUAGUGAACAUAAAUAACAUGUAAU
rnacentral:misc_RNA from 1 species